UGUGCUUAGUGCUGAUGAUACAAUGACAAGCAGAAAAGUUCACGGGAAACUUCCCAAAGGAGUUUAAAUUUCAAAGAAUGAAUUUUAAAGAAUGGAUGUGAUUUUGCCAGAUGCAUAAUGGAGACUAACAAGAACAGAGAAAGAUGUUUCUUUUCCCAGGGCACCUGGAUGGCUCGGCUGGUUAAGUGUCUAAUUCAGGUCAUGAUCUCAUGGGUUGUAAGAUCGGGCCUCACACCAAGCUCCCCACUCAGUAGGAGCCAGCUUGAAAAUUCUCUCCGUCUGUCCUUCCCCUGACCCCAGUGCCCUCUGUCUCUUUCUCAAAUAAAUAAAUCUUUUUUAAAAAAUAAAAUAAAAAAAAUUUUUCC
rnacentral:lncRNA from 1 species